GGUCAACCUGCUUAACCCAAUUCAUCCAAAUAAUUACACUUUAUGAAAAUCCAAAAAAUCUAAGUUUGUCUAGCCGAAAAUAUGUCCAACCCAAAAUAUUGUCACUCACCUCACCCUAAAAUUUUAACGGACACAUACACUCACCUCAUCCUAGUGUAACCUAAUCCUAAGUUUCUAACACAUACAUUUUUAUUUCACUCAUCUCACUCUCAAUCUCUCACUCUCUCAAUCGCUGCUCUUCUUCGUUGAAAGAUCCAGAUGACUUGGAAGUAAAUUAAACCAAGAGAUUGAUACAACUGAAACAAGACUUUUUCGAAAUGAUGAAGCUACAUUAUUUGUAUUCUUUUAGACAAUUUUGUUUGGGAUUAAAUUGUUGUUUUGCUUGAGAAUUUUAAGAUGCACUUGUUUGAAAAGUCAGGUUAAAUGAACAAAAUCAGGUUAGCCAGGUUAAGCCAUCUCUAAAUAUAACAACCUGAUUUAUACCCAAAAUAAAAGUUUUUAAGUCAAAUCAGGUCAUUAUCGGAUUGACCCAAACCCGAAAUUAUCAGGUUCAGGUUGUGUUUUUCAACCUGAAAGCUUAAAUGGGUCAGGUUCGGGUUGGGGGUGGCUGACUCGAAAUCAGCUGACCCGAAUACGAACUCGACCCGACCUGAUCUGUUUGACUCCCCUAUAUCUUCACCAUUUUUGGGUGGAAGUGUUCAUAGCAGUAAUUGAUCUACAACUUCAAGAACUUAACAACCGUUUUGAUGAGGUUAAUAUGGAGUUGCUUAAAUGCAUGGCUUGCUUGUGUCCCAACUCCCAAAAGAUCGAUUCACUUCUUUCAACAAGGAAAAGGUACUUAAACUUGCCACUCCUUAUCCUUUUGAGUAUACAACUAAUGAUUUGGAUACUCUUGAUUGUCAAUAACUUGAUAUAUUUAUGGAAGAUAUGCGAGAUGAUAGUGGUGAAUUUCAAGAUGUCAAUGAUCUUUCUUCCCUUUCAAUGAAGUUUGUUGAAACAAAUAGGAAUGAAGCUUAGCCACUUGUAUUUUUGCUCAUUAAGUUGAUGUUGAUUCUUCUCAUUGCUACGGCAAGUGUGGAAAGAGUGUUUCCGAAAAUGACUUACAUAAAAAGUAAGUUGUGAAAUAGCAUCGGUGAUCAACUUGAAUGAUUGUCUGGUCACUUUUCUUGAGAAAGAAGUGUUUCAUCAAGUUUUCGAUGAUGAUAUUAUUGAUCGUUUCCAACAAAAUGAAGACUCGUCGAACGCACUUGUAAUUUUUUUUAUUUAUUUAUGUAAUUUUUUCUUAGCUUGGGAUGUAUGACAAUGAAUAUUAGACGAUGUUUCUUUGCGUUGUAAAAUUUUCAAUAUUGAAUAUCUUUUGUCUU